rnacentral:rRNA from 1 species
GACGAACGCUGGCGGCGUGCUUAACACAUGCAAGUCGAACGGAAAGGCCCUGCUUUUGUGGGGUGCUCGAGUGGCGAACGGGUGAGUAACACGGGAGUAACCUGCCCUUGACUUUGGGAUAACUUCAGGAAACUGGGGCUAAUACCGGCUAGGAGCUCCUGCUGCAUGGUGGGGGUUGGAAAGUUUCGGCGGUUGGGGAUGGACUCGCGGCUUAUCAGCUUGUUGGUGGGGUAGUGGCUUACCAAGGCUUUGACGGGUAGCCGGCCUGAGAGGGUGACCGGCCACAUUGGGACUGAGAGACGGCCCAGACGCCUACGGGAGGCAGCAGUGGGGAAUAUGGCACAAUGGGCGGAAGCCUGAUGCAGCAACGCCGCGUGCGGGAUGACGGCCUUCGGGGUGUAAACCGCUUUCGCCUGUGACGAAGCGUGAGUGACGGUAAUGGGUAAAGAAGCACCGGCUAACUACGUG